GACACACCCGCUUUGCUUAGAGGCGCAGCAGAUAGAGCGGUUGUUAACGACUCUUAAAAGGGGGGAGGAACGGGGCAGCAGUAGGACAACGAACUGCAUUGCAUCGGGUGUCUGUUUGAAUUGGGACUCUGGCAAGGGCAGUGGGCUCUGGGGCGCCUGAGCAGCAGGAACCUUCAGGCAGUUUCCUCGCACAGAGCUUGAGAGAGGAAGCAAUGAAUGGGAGAAUUCAAAGGAUGGCGAUAAAUAAGACAAGAACUGAUGGAUCUACUGUUGACAGACAGGAGGAAACUGAAGUGGUGAAUGCUUUCAGAUGGAGGCCUUGGAAAGAAUUGAUAGAAACUGUCAUGAAAAAAGCAACAAAUGCUCUGGAGGACUUUGAAAACUUGGAUUCGUGCAGUGAGGAUUCAGAUUCAGGCAGUGAUGACUCAGUGUCAGAUGUUGAAGAUGGUAACAUGUCCUCUAAAGCCGCUUCUGCUGAACCAAGAAGUCCAUCUCACUAUGAAGAGGAGGACUGGGAAAAAGAAAUAGCAGAAAGUGAAAAUAAUAGCAAUCCUUAUGAACACAGGAGGUUGGUUAUGAGCAGCCUGGGCCUGCAGGAGAGUGUGGGGACAUCGGCCAUGAGGACUUCAUCAAGCUGGUGUCCAUCUAGACUGCGUACCUUGAGAUACAUCUGAUGAGCUUCCCACCCCCAAAGGCCGAUGGCUGCUAUGAACAAGAAAGGGACUGUGAAAUGGCCUAUGGGACAGGAGGGCUAAAAGCUGGGAAGUUGUUUCUUUCUUUUUUUCUUCCCAAGUUUGUCUCUUUCUUGCAAAAUGUAUAUUUAAGACACUGCUUGGCCUUUUCCUCACCUGCCAUUGUCAUGCUGGGAUUCUUUUAUUGUUAAACUUCACAGUGUUUUUCCUACUUCAGCUGGAACUGUCUUCUGGAGCUUAGCUUUCUAGGAAUAGUUUUGGUCUUCUUCUACCUCCUCUUCUAUUCAGCAGUCUUCAGAGAGAAGAAAUGGUUUCCUCUGGUAUCAGCAGUAGCAAACGGUCAGUUGAAGUUGUCCGGUGAGAAGGAGUGAAGUGGGAAUUCUGAUUUGGCAACUUUUGGCACAGAGCUUUAUAUUCAGUUCAGGUAAAUUGCUGCUCCUGCUUUGUUACCUUGGAGGUGGUGUAGCUCAGUGAUAGAGCAUUUCCUUAGAAAAAGCUGUCAUAAGAUUCAGGUUCUAAUGUCUUGGCCCCACACCCAAAGGUAUGGCAAACCACUUCUAUAUCCUGGCCCAGAAACAGUGUGACUGUGACUGUGUAGUCAGCGAACCACUGAGUAUGGUCAAAGUUUCCUUUCAUUUUUAGCUCACCAGUAUAGUGAAAUCUGUUAAGUUCUUCUCAUAGAGUCUCCAUUUUUUAUGCCUCCUAAUACCAGCAGUGGAAACCCUGAUGCCUUUUGGGCUUCUCAUUAUCCCAGGCUGUUGAUGUUAUGGGUGAGUUUAAUUUCACAUCAGGGCAGCUUAACUGCCUAUCAUUAUGGGUCAGCAGGUGUGUUCUUCUGCUAACAUUAUCCCUGGACCAAAAUGAUUAAGGUGCUAUGAUAGCAGAAUCAUACUGGUAUUAUGAUCAGCUGUAUACUCAGCCUCAGCAUCCUAGCUGUUUAAGGCUUUUCAGGAAAGUGGAAUAAGGUGUUGGAUUGUCUAUGCCUCAUUCUAAAGUCUUGUUUAAAAGAUUUCAUAUUCAUAACAAAAUAUUAGUACAUGACCUAUUUGUAUUCACAGGAUGUUGUAGGGUAAUAGAAAAUAUUGCAUUGUAUAUACUUUGCCUUGUUAUACUAAUUUAGCACUUCAUAUAAAUAUUCAGUCUGCUUCAUAUCAUUCUGAAAAAUUUCCAGUAGCCUACCUACCUGCCUAUCCAUCCAUCCAACCAUCCAUCCAUCAGGACCAGAAUAAACAAAACAAAUUAAAACCA
ensembl:lncRNA